GCCUUGAUGGCUCAGUGGUAAAGCGCCUCACUAGUAAUGAGGAGAUCGAGAGUUCGAUUCUCUCUCGAGGCA
rfam:Colletotrichum orbiculare MAFF 240422 contig01502, whole genome shotgun sequence.